GGGUCAGUAGGUUGGUCGUGCCACCGGUACGUACUGGUCUCACUGAUUCCUCCUUCCUGAAGAACCGUAAUGCCAUUAAUUUGGUGUUGCGGGGAAACAGGACUGUUACUUUGAAAAAAUUAGAGUGUUUAAAGCAAGCUAACGCUCGAAUACAUUAGCAUGGAAUAAUGAAAUAGGACGAUCGAUCCCAUUUUGUUGGUUUCUAGGAUUGACGUA
rnacentral:rRNA from 1 species